rnacentral:lncRNA from 1 species
ACUCGGGAGCUGCACCUUACCAAGUGAACAACUGAUCUGAACUUCAAUUGAUGCACGUAAGAGUGAGAUCUCAAGGAAUAAAACCAAACAACAGUAGGCAGAAAAGUGGCACUUGCUUGGUUAUGAUAAUAUUGGAAGGUUCCAUUAUGAGGAGUUCCUAUGCCCUCCCCACUGUUACUACCACCAGAAAAAGAUCCAUCGGCACAAAGUAUCAACAUUGGGCGACUAACAGAAAAUUUAUCAUCAGGAAUCUGUUGGAAGGUUCCAUCAUGAGGAGUUCCUAUGCCCUCCCCACUGUUACUACCACCAGAAAAAGAUCCAUCGGCACAAAGUAUCAACAUUGGGCGACUAACAGAAAAUUUAUCAUCAGGAAUCUUCGAUGCUAUUAGUUUCGGCAACACUUGC